rnacentral:rRNA from 1 species
CGAAGGGCGUAGCGUUGUUCGGAUUUACUGGGCGUAAAGACGCGCGUAGGCGGAUCACUAAGUCAGGGUGGAAAUCCCGAGGCUUAACCUCGGAACUGCCUUUGAUACUGAUGAUCUGGAGAUCGGGAGAGGUUGGUGGAAUUCCGAGUGUAGAGGUGAAAUUCGUAGAUAUUCGGAGGAACACCAGAAGCGAAGGCGGCCAACUGGCCCGAUACUGACGCUGAGGCGCGAAAGCGUGGGAGCAAACAGGAUU